rnacentral:rRNA from 1 species
AAAAACAUUGCUUUAUGAAAAACCAUAUAAAGUAAUUCCUGCCCAGUGACAACUGUUCAACGGCCGCGGUAUCCUAACCGUGCAAAGGUAGCAUAAUAACUUGCCUAUUAAUUGUAGGCUAGAAUGAACGGAUAAACGAAAUAAAAGCUGUCUCAGUCAGCAAUCCUAAAAAUUAAUAUCUACACGAAGAAUUGUAGAUAAAGUCGAAGGACAAGAAGACCCUAUAGAGCUUUAUUUAAAAUCUAGAUACUCUAGACAAAAAUUCGGUUGGGGCGACCAAGGGCACUAUAAAACACCCUGAAAAAAAAAGAUAUAUUAAUCUACAUGAAUGACCCUAAUAAGAUCACAAGAUCAAGCUACCUUAGGGAUAACAGGCUAAUCCUAUUUAAGAGUCCAUAUCAAUAAUAGGGUUUGGCACCUCGAUGUUGGCUUAGGGUAUCGAUAUAGCGCAAAAGUUAUACAUGGAUGGUUUGUUCAACCAAUAAUACCCUACAUGAGCUG